rnacentral:misc_RNA from 1 species
UCACUGUCCUCCAUCCAAGCAACACUAUACAAGUCUCCCAAACAGGUUUCAUAUUCUGGGGGAGGACUAGGAUAAUCUCCAGGGCAGUAGGUGCCCCAGCUACUCUCUAUUGCAUUAGCUGCUGUGGUUGCAUAAAUAUUCAAACCGUCAGGAAGAAGGCCCUCAAAGAUGCUCCCAGAUUCACACGCUUCAAGAUAGAACACCAAGCUUUUAUAGGUCCCUGAAGCAUGCUUCUUUUCAGCAUAAAGGUAUGGAUUGGUAGGCAUCCCUAGCACCCCAGGACCCCCAUGAUCACUGUAGUAA